rnacentral:rRNA from 1 species
UGAGGGAUAUUGGUCAAUGGGCGCAAGCCUGAACCAGCCAUGCCGCGUGCAGGAUGACGGUCCUAUGGAUUGUAAACUGCUUUUGUACAGGAAGAAACACUGGUUCGUGAACCAGCUUGACGGUACUGUAAGAAUAAGGAUCGGCUAACUCCGUGCCAGCAGCCGCGGUAAUACGGAGGAUCCAAGCGUUAUCCGGAAUCAUUGGGUUUAAAGGGUCCGUAGGCGGUCAGAUAAGUCAGAGGUGAAAGCCCAUCGCUCAACGGUGGAACGGCCAUUGAUACUGUCUGACUUGAAUUAUUAGGAAGUAACUAGAAUAUGUAGUGUAGCGGUGAAAUGCUUAGAGAUUACAUGGAAUACCAAUUGCGAAGGCAGGUUACUACUAAUGGAUUGACGCUGAUGGCGAAAGCGUGGGUAGCGAACAGGAUUAGAUACCCUGGUAGCCCACGCCGUAAACGAUGGAUACUAAGCUGUUGGGAGCAAUCUC